rnacentral:lncRNA from 1 species
CCAGCCUGGGCGACAGAGCAAGACUCCGUCUCAAAAAAACAAAACAAAAAAAAGAAAACAGUUUGAAAAUUUCCCUGUAAAGUAAAACUUACAUUUACCAUGUAUGUUGCAGCAAUCUCCCUCUUAGGUGUUUACCCAGUGGAAAUGAAAGCUUAUGGGUCACACAAAAACUUAUUACAUGAAUACUUAGAGCAACUUUUAUUUAUAAUUGCCAAGAAUGAAAACCUAAUGUCCUUCAGCUGAUGGAUGUACCAACCAACUGGGGUACAUCCAUCCAAUGGAAUAUUAUUCAGCAAAGAAACCCCAAAUUAUUGAUACUCUCAACAGAAUGCAAGAAUCUUAAAAUAAUUAUGCUGAAUGAAAGAAGUCCAACUCAAAAGACUACAAACUAUACAAUUCCAUUUAUAUGACCUUCUGGAAAAGGGAAAGCCUUAGGGAUGGAGAUGUCCUGGGUUAGAGAUGGGAGAGAGCUGGAUUUCAAAGGAUGGUGAGAAAGACUUUUGAGGUGGGUGGAACUUUUCUGUCUUGAUUGUGGUGCUGGUUCCAUGAUCCUGUGCAUUUGUCAAAACUCAUAGAACUGUAGACGAGAGAGAGAGACAGAGAAAGGAAUUGCAUUGUACGUAAAUUUUAAAAAUAACUAUAAAAUGUGAGGGUUGGUUUCUGAACAGAGACCUAAUAAGUUAUCUGAGUAAUAUUAGUAUUAACCUUUAUUGAGCAUUUACUUUGUGCCAGGUGUUAUCUUGUGAAGUCCUCAAAACUAGCCACUGGGGUAGAUAUUAUGAGGUAGAGCUCCAGAGAGAACUGGAGGCUCAGAGAGGCUACAGUCAGCAGAGUCCAACUCAACCCCAGGUGGGUGAGGCUGCGAGGCCUGUGCAAGGUUCCCCGGGGCUGCAGCCUGCCCUCCCCUCCCCUUUUCUUUCCCUCCUGAAUCCUCCCCUUCCUGCCAGCACCUCCCUAUCCCGGCCCCUCCCAUCCUUCCCAGAAAAGCCUUCUCCACUCAUGUCACUUCUUUGAUGUAAAUUCCAGUGAGUAAGGAGGACGAUUUGGUCAAAGGUAUGAAAAUAUUUCUGACUUUUGAUCAAAUUUCUGUUCCUAUCCUUAAAUCAAUUUACAACCAGAUGGUGUCAUACCAAAGCACCUUGGGUACUUGGAGGAAAAUGUUCCUUUGUCCAGAGUCUCCUGCAGUGAUGUGGCUGCCCCUUCUUCCUCCACACCCUGUACUCUUUCCCAUUUCCAGUCCCUCUGCUGCCCUCAUACCUGGAGGCCACUCUUCUUUCCCAUUUCCAGCCCCUCUGCUGCCCUCAUACCUGGAGGCCAUUCCUCUCUGUGUCUGGAGGCUGUUCUGACCUAAGCUCCUUUAUCAGCAAAGUGGGUCCACUGUUCCUUUCCCUCCUCCCUCACCGUCUCCAUCUCAAUUCUUAGCCUUUUCCAAUUUUUCCAAUUCUUAGCCAAUUCUAGCCAUCUCCUGGCUGCCCAAUUCUUAGCCUUUCCUUCACCCUCACCCUUCUUGUCAGGCCACUGUUUCCCAAGGAUAUUUCUUGCAUGAGGCUGAUGCUGAGUCCUUUGAGAGGAAGAGACCUACAGCUGGGAGAGGGGGCUCCUACAAGGAGGAGGCAGCAGGUUGCAUAGCCCAGGCUCAGGUGCCCGCUGGGGAUGACCCAGGAAAACACCCACCAAGCCAGCAUGUUAGGGGGCACCCUCACCUAGGAAAGUGAGGUACAAGACAGGGAGUGUGUACUCUGCAUAAAUAAAAAUGCCCUAGGAUGAGGAUGUGGAAGGAGAACUAGAGGAUUAUUCCUGUUUUGUUCUCUGUACUUGGAGAAACCCUCUGUGCUUCUCAUAUCACGGGGCCUGUGGGGCUGAAAACAGGGUGGCUUGAAGACAUCCUCUCCUACUCUCCCCUCCCCUUUCUUCAGCUCCCCUCCCCUCUCCUCGGUGCUGUGGGUGCCUCUGCUCAUGGAGGGAACCAUGUGGCUGAGGCUGUUGUGAUUCUUUCUGAUUUGGUCUUGUGGUCUCUUUCUGCAGAGUUCCUAUAAACUGUGCCCCACCUAAUGGGCCUCGGGGAUUUGGUGGUGGAUGUGUACAGCACGCCUUUCACAAGAUUCUUCUUUAUCCUGGCAGGUGGCCUCAUGCCUGAGGGUGAGACCCAUGGUCUGGUGUUGCUCUCACAGGAAUCUUGUUCAUACUGGCAGACUCCUUGUGGCUCCCAUCUGACCUGUUUCCAGCUAUUCCCAAUAAGAUAGCCACUCUUUAGGCCAGCCCUGACUAGGAGAGGAGCUAGGUUCUGGUGCAUCUGUCCGGGGAGACAGAGGAGGCAACUGGACAAAGCACAUAGAGUCACAGAAGCAGCAUAUUCCUCACAGAUCCCAGAGAGAAGAAGGCAGAAUACCUCACAUGGCUAGCGGAAUGGAGGGAGCUGCCUGGGGCACACACACACACAACCACUGGGUGGGGAUCGAGAGAGAGGAGGACCUGUAAGCUGAGGCCUUAAGUGGGGUCCAGGGGUCUACCCCAGGCAGGUUUCCCAUAGGGAGUUCUAAUUGAUGGGUUUAGAGCAAGCAGGCACCGGUUCCAUGUAAUCACGCCAUGACUGAGAGGUGGUCAUUGCAGCAUAUCUGUGAGGUCCAUGUGGGGUCAGUGGGGUGAGUCAAGUAGGUUGUAUCCAGCUGUCUCGUAGGGCAGUGGUCACCAGGAGGUGUUUGUAUAAGGCAGAUGUCUGGAUUGAUCACAUUGAGGAACUGGAAGGAGGUGGAGAGCUGGAAACUGUGUUAAGGACUGGCCACAAUGCUGAAUUUCAACGAAAGCACCCAUAAGGAAGCCUGCCUUUUGAUGUGCUCAGCCUGCGAGGGUCGGGAGGAAGAGAGGGGCCUGCCGCCUCGCGCCCUGCCCGCGCGCCCUCUGUGGGUGCCGCUGGUCCCGGUGUGGCCGGCAGGGGGCGCGCGCGCCAUUCCCGGGCUCGCCGGGCGGGGCGGGGGCGCUUCCGAAGCUGAGCCGAGGACGCCGUGUUCCGCCGGUCCGGAGCGCCGCUACUCCGCGACCUGAGCCUGGCUCAGCAGCUCUGCCAGGCGUGCUUCCGCGCAGGGUGGCCGGACGUUCUGGGGAAGUUGCCCCGGGCCCAGCACAACGCCUGCGGGGGAGGGGUGAUGACUCACUCUCUCCUGAAAGAAGACCACACUGCCCCGGAGACACAGGAGGCCUUCUGACCUGGCCCGGUUGCCCUUCCUGGAGAUGCCCCUCCUUCCCCAGAAGGCAGGCUCAGCUCAUGGAUGGUGCAGUCAGUAAGGGGAACUCAGUGCUGCCCAGGUCCCAGUCCACUGUGGACACCUGCAUGAUCUGACACUUCCCCAUGAGGACUUUUGAGAAGCCAGAUGACUUGUUUGAAUUAUCCAGUUCAGCUCCUGAGCCUCCUCUGCAAGAUCCUACCAAGCAAACUUGGGGUGUUUCCCCUGCUCCCCUAUUUCUGGUAUUAACACCUUCCCCAGAACACCAGACUAUUCCUGUUAUGACGAGUAAAGACCUCUUAGUAUUGUAACUUAAGGGGGUCACACCAUGGCAACAUUCUAUUUUUUUCCUUUUUGUGUACUAGCUAGAAUUACUCUAUUUAUUUACUUCAGGCAUUUACUUGUUGUAAUUAUCUGAUUUUGUGUCCCUGAAAUAGUUUUUGCAGAAAAAUCAGGAUAAAUUAUUGAUUCUGCCCCUUUUAUUUUUUAUAGUUUUUAGAAGGGGUUUAUUUUUUAUAAUCCAAAUGUGCCCAAGUAAGGUUUGUUUGUUGAGAAGUGCCUUUCCAAACCCCUCAAUUUUUAUUUUAUUUAUAUUUAUUUAUUUAUUUAUUUAUUCAUUUUGAGACAGAGUCUUGCUCUGUCUCCCAGGUUGGAGUGCAGUGGCACCUUGUAUUAGUCCGUUUUCAUGCUGCUGAUAAAGACAUACCCCAGAAUGGGAAGAAGAAGAGGUUUAGUGGACUUGCAGUUCCACAUGACUGGGGAGGCCUUACAAUCGUGGUGGAGGGCAAGGAAGAGCAAGUCAGGUCUUACACGGAUGGCGGCAGGAAAAGAGAGAGAACUUGUGUAGGGGAACUCCUCUUUAUAAAACCAUCAGAUCUCAUGUGAGACUUAUUCACUAUCAUGAGACCAGCACGAGAAAGACCUGCCCCUGUGAUUCACAGGGACCCACUGGGUCCCUCCCAUGACACAUGGAAUUGUGGGAGUUACAAUUCAAGAUGAGAUUUGGGGGGAAACACAGCCAAACCCUAUCAAGCCAUCUCGGCUCUCUGCAACCUCCACUUCCCAGGCUCAAGUGAUUCUCCUGCCUCAGCCUCCUGAGUAGCUGGGAUUACAGGCAUGCGCCACCACACCUGGAUAAUUUUUGUAUUUUUUAUAGACAUGGGGUUUCAUCAUGUCGGCCAGACUGGUCUUGAACUCCUGACCUCGUGCAAUCCACCUGCCUCAGCCUCCCGAAGUGUUGGGAUUGCAGGAGUGAGCCACUGUGCCUGGCCCUCAAUUUUUAACAUGUAUGUUUCCAUUCAUUGCUGAGCUGUUUAACCUUAUAUAAUGUUAAAGAAAACAGAUGGCAGCUAGGUAACAAGAGCCCUGUCAAUGGGCAUCCCCUUCUCCUAUGUUCCGUUUCUGGGAAUCAACUUAAAGAGACCAUUAAAAACCAGAUUUGCACAAAAUCAAACAAACAUAUUGGUUGAAGCAUUUAAAAGAAUGAAAGUUUGGAAAUAAUCUCAUUAUUCAAUAGUUAUUCAGUAGUUGCUUAAUAAAAUGUGGCAUAUCCAUUUGAUGGAAUAUUAUAUAGCAAUUAAAAUGAUAUUUCUUAAAACUAUGUAUGUCUUCAAGCAUCUUUAUUGAGGUAUACAUACCAUAAAAUUCAUCCAAUUUGAAAUGUACAUUCAGUGACUUUUAGUAAACCAUCACAAUUCAGUUUUAGAACAUUAUCACCACCCCCAAAAUUUCCUCCUACCCAUUUGCAAUCAAUCCCAGCUACCAUUUUUGACUCCAGGCAACUACUGACCUG